rnacentral:rRNA from 1 species
AGUGAACGCUGGCGGUAGGCCUAACACAUGCCAGUCGAACGGCAGCACAGUAAGAGCUUGCUCUUACGGGUGGCGAGUGGCGGACGGGUGAGGAAUACAUCGGAAUCUACUUUUUCGUGGGGGAUCACGUAGGGAAACUUACGCUAAUACCGCAUACGACCUACGGGUGAAAGCAGGGGAUCUUCGGACCUUGCGCGAUUGAAUGAGCCGAUGUCGGAUUAGCUGGUUGGCGGGGUAAAGGCCCACCAAGGCGACGAUCCGUAGCUGGUCGGAGAGGAUGGUCGGCCACACUGGAACUGAGACGCGGUCCAGGCUCCUACGGGAGGCAGCAGUGGGGAAUAUUGGACAGUGGGCGCAAGCCUGGUCCAGCCAUACCGCGUGGGUGAAGAAGGCCUUCGGGUUGUAAAGCCCUUUUGUUGGGAAAGAAAAGCAGCAGGUUAAUACCCCGCUGUUCUGACGGUACCCAAAGAAUAAGCACCGGCUAACUUCGUG